rnacentral:misc_RNA from 1 species
GAACGCACAUUGCGCCCCUUGGUAUUCCGAGGGGCAUGCCUGUUCGAGCGUCAUUACACCACUCAAGCAUCGCUUGGUAUUGGGAACGGUCCGUCGAAAGGCGGGCCUUCCUCGAAGACCUCGGCGGGGUUCAACCAACUUCGGGCGUAGUAGAGUUAAAUCGAACGUCUUACAAGCUUGGUCGGAUCUCAUUGCCGUUAAACCUUUAAAUUUUCUAGGUUGACCUCGGAUCAGGUAGGGAUACCCGCUGAACUUAAG